AUGUUUGGUCGCUAUGGCACUAUACUAUCAUGCAAAGUGGCCACUCACUUUAACGGUCAAUCAAAAGGGUACGGAUUUGUUCAGUUUGCAGAGGAGACAUCUGCCAAUGAUGCCAUCGACAACUUGAAUGGCAAGUUGGUGAAUGGCAAACAAAUUUUUGUAGGUCUCUUCAUUCGUCGUCAGGAGAGGCAGCCAAAUAUCAACUUGAGUAAUUAUACAAAUGUAUAUGUGAAGAACUUUCCAAAGGAAUUCACUCACAAUGACCUUCUGCAAGAGUUUGGUCCAUUCGGUACAAUUACUAGUGUUGUAAUAAUGAGAGAUAAUGAUGGAAUAUCCAAAUGCUUUGGAUUCAUUAACUAUGGGGAAUCAGAAUGUGCUGCAAAAGCUGUGAAAAGUCUUAAUGGUAAGAUGAUUAAGGAUUCAAUUUUGUAUGUUGGAAGAGCUCAGAAAAAGUCAGAAAGAGAAGCAGAGCUGAAAGAAAACUUUGAGCGUGCGAGAAAUGAGAAAUUCAAAAAGUUUGAAGGGCUCAAUCUAUACGUGAAGAAUCUAGAUGGUAGUAUUAAUGAUCUAAAUCUUAGAGGGUUAUUUGAAUUUUCUGGUGAGAUAGGAUCAUGCAAGGUUAUGGUUGAUUCACAAGGAAGGAGCAAGGGUUAUGGCUUUGUGUCAUUUACAACUAUUGAAGCUGUCCACAAGGCUAUUGAUGGGAUGAACAGGAAGAUAGUUUGUAAAAGCCAUUUUAUGUUGGUGUAG
rnacentral:rRNA from 1 species